rnacentral:rRNA from 1 species
UACGGGGGGGACAAGCGUUGUUCGGAUUUACUGGGCGUAAAGGGCGCGUAGGCGGGCCUUCAAGUCGGAUGUGAAAACUAGCAGCUUAACUGCUGGCCUGCAUACGAUACUGGAGGUCUUGAGUACAGGAGAGGAGAGUGGAAUUCCAGGUGUAGCGGUGAAAUGCGUAGAUAUCUGGAAGAACACCCGCAGCGAAGGCGACUCUCUGGCCUGAUACUGACGCUGAAGCGCGAAGGCUUGGGUAGCAAACAGGAUUAGAUACCCUUGUA